UGCAGCAUCUUUUCUUUCCAGAGGUCAAAGAAGUAAGAGGGGUCCGUGUAGAACUUCAGCCCGUCCUUCUUGUCAUCUCUGUGAACCAAAUGUUGAAAGCCAGGGAAGAAGGACUGUCAGCCGCCUUCAUCAGGAGGAAGCUAUGAGUAGAGACAGCAGGAUGCUCAGAGUACACUAAUUUCUACUGGAAACUUCAGUAUAGUCACGAUCAAAAACUACCGAGCAAGAUGCCCAAAGGAAAGAAGGCCAAGAGGAAGAAGGUGGCCCCGGCCCCCGCCGUGGUCAAGAAACAAAGAGGCCAAAAAGGUGGUCAAUCCUUUGUUUGAGAAAAGGCCUAAGAACUUCGGCAUUGGGCAGGACACCCAGCCCAAAAGAGAUCUCACGCGCUUCGUCAAAUGGCCCCGCUACAUCAGGCUGCCACGGCAAAGAGUCAUCCUCUAUAAGUGGCUCAAAGUACCUCCUGCCAUCAACCAGUUCACCCAGGCCCUGGACAGGCAAACAGCGACUCAGCUGCUUAAGCUCACCCACAAGUACAGGCCAGAGACAAAGCAGGAGAAGAAGCAACGGCUGCUGGCCUGUGCUGAGGAGAAAGCUGCUGGCAAAGGGGACGUCCCAACUGAGAGACCACUGUCCUCCCAGCAGGGGUCAACACAGUCACCACCUUGGUGGAGAACAAGAAGGCUCAGCUGAUGGUGAUUGCCCAUGAUGUAGACCCCAUUGAGCUGGUGGUUUUCCUGCCUGCCCUGUGUUGAAAGAUGGGGGGCCCUACUGCAUCAUCAAGGGAAAGGCCAGGCUGGGGCGCCUGGUCCACAGGAAGACGUGCACCACUGUUGCCUUCACACAGAUUAACUUGGAAGACAAGGGUGCUCUGGCUAAGCUGGUGGAAGCUAUUAGGACCAAUUAUAAUGACAGAUAUGACGAAAUCUGCCGCCACUGGGGAGGCAACGUCCUGGGUCCUAAGUCUGUGUCUCGCAUUGCCAAGCUGGAAAAGGCAAAGGCUAAAGAACUCGCCACUAAGCUGGGUUAAAUGUACACUUAAGUUUUCUGUACAUAAAUAUAACUACAAAAAAAUGAAACCUUUUAAAUGCUUUCCAUUGCUCUCAGAAAAUAAAUGGAAGAAACUAAAA